CCUACGGGUGGCAGCAGUGAGGAAUAUUGGUCAAUGGACGGGAGUCUGAACCAGCCAAGUAGCGUGAAGGAUGACUGCCCUAUGGAUUGUAAACUUCUUUUAUAAGGGAAUAAAACGAGGCACGCGUGCCUGUUUGCAUGUACUUUAUGAAUAAGGAUCGGCUAACUCCGUGCCAGCAGCCGCGGUAAUACGGAGGAUGCGAGCGUUAUCCGGAUUUAUUGGGGUUAAAGGGUGCGUAGAUGGGUUGUUAAGUCAGUGGUGAAAGUCUGCGGCGCAACCGUCAGACUGCAAUUGAUACUGGCAGUCUUGAGUUCAGGUGAGGUAAGCGGAAUUCGUGGUGUAGCGGUGAAAUGCAUAGAUAUCGCGAAGAACUCCGAUUGCGAAGGCAGCUUACUA
rnacentral:rRNA from 1 species